rnacentral:rRNA from 1 species
GAGAGUUAAACAGUACGUGAAAUUGUUGAAAGGGAAACGAUUGAAGCCAGUCGUACCUUCGGGUAAUCAGCCUUUUGGGUGUGAUUUUGUGGAGCGUGAAGAGUUAAACGCCUUCAUGCCUGCAUAUUCGUGCACUUUGGGUGUACUUGCCCGUAUGGUUGGUUAACAUCAAUUUUGAUGGUCAUAAAAUGACUGGAGGAAUGUAGCUUCGAUCUCGUAUUGAAGUGUUAUAGCCUUCGGUAGAUGUGAUGAUCGAGAUUGAGGAUUGCAACGGAUACCCUUCGGGGCUACCUGUCUGAUCUCUGAUCGUUGCUCUGGUGCCGAAAGCUUGCUUACGGUUAUCAAAGUCGAUGGUCAAUAGGUUAGAACGGGUUAAAUUCGUUAAGGAUGUUGACGUAAUGGCUUUAAACGA